GACGAACCGUGCAGACGUUGUUCGGAAUCACUGGGCGUAAAGAGCUCGUAGGCGGUCAGUCGCGUCUGCUGUGAAAACUCGGGGCUUAACUCCGGGCCUGCAGUGGGUACGGGCUGACUAGAGUGCGGUAGGGGAGACUGGAAUUCCUGGUGUAGCGGUGAAAUGCGCAGAUAUCUGGAGGAACACCGGUGGCGAAGGCGGCAUCCUGGACCAACACUGACACUGAGGAGCGAAAGCCAGGGGAGCAAGCGGG
rnacentral:rRNA from 1 species